UACGGAGGGUGCAAGCGUUAUCCGGAUUCACUGGGUUUAAAGGGUGCGUAGGCGGACAUGUAAGUCCGUGGUGAAAUCUCUAAGCUUAACUUGGAAACUGCCAUGGAUACUAUAUGUCUUGAAUGUUGUGGAGGUUAGCGGAAUAUGCCAUGUAGCGGUGAAAUGCAUAGAUAUGACAUAGAACACCAAUUGCGAAGGCAGCUGGCUACACAAAUAUUGACGCUGAGGCACGAAAGCGUGGGGAUCAAACAG
rnacentral:rRNA from 1 species